CCUACGGGAGGCAGCAGUGAGGAAUAUUGGUCAAUGGACGAGAGUCUGAACCAGCCAAGUAGCGUGAAGGAUGACUGCCCUAUGGGUUGUAAACUUCUUUUAUAUGGGAAUAAAACGUUCCACGUGUGGGAUUUUGUAUGUACCAUAUGAAUAAGGAUCGGCUAACUCCGUGCCAGCAGCCGCGGUAAUACGGAGGAUCCGAGCGUUAUCCGGAUUUAUUGGGUUUAAAGGGAGCGUAGGGGGAUUGUUAAGUCAGUUGUGAAAGUUUGCGGCUCAACCGUAAAAUUGCAGUUGAAACUGGCAGUCUUGAGUACAGUAGAGGUGGGCGGAAUUCAUGGUGUAGCGGUGAAAUGCUUAGAUAUCACGAAGAACUCCGAUUGCGAAGGCAGUUCACUGGACUGCAACUGACACUGAGGCUCGAAAGUGUGGGUAUCAAACAGGAUUAGAUACCCCAGUAGUC
rnacentral:rRNA from 1 species